UGCCUACACUGCAAGUCGAACGCGGUUUAAGAGGAAUCUUGCCAAUCUUAAAACUUCUGGCGCACGGGUGAGUAACGCGUGGAUGACCUGCCUGGGAGACCGGGAUAACAGCUGGAAACGGCUGCUAAUACCGGAGACGCUCUGGUGGACGCAUGUUCAGCACAGGAAAGCUUUAGUGCUAUCAGAUGGAUCCGCGUCCCCUUACCUUGUUGGUGGUGUAAAAUACCACCAAGGACACCAUUGGUAACCGGCCUGAGAGGUCUACCAGCCACACUGGGACUGAGACACGGUCCAGACUCCUACGGGAGGCGUCAUUGGGGAAUCUUCCACGAUGGGCGAAAGCCUGACAGAUCAACGCCUCCCGACGGAACAACGCCUUCUCGUUGUAAACCUCUGUCUUCAAUCGAAGAACUUAUGACGGUACUUGUAGAGGAAGCCCCUGCUAACUACGUGCCACCUACCCCGGUAUAACGUAAGGCGCGAUCAUUAUCCCGAAUUACUGGCCGUAUAGGGCUCGUACGUGAUACAUUAAGUCAUAUGUGAAAGAUCGUCGCACAACCUCGAGAUUGGCUCUGAUUCUGCUGGACUUGACUGCAUGAAACGCGAGCUCAAUUCCCAGUGUAGCGCUGAAAUGCUUACAUUGAGUUACGAACACCCCUCGCUAAUGCCGCUCUCUAGAGUGUAACUGACACUGAAGCGCACUAGCGUGGUCAACACAUACGAUUACAUACCCUGGUAGUCCACGCCGUGGACUAUGAGUGCAUCGUGUUGUAUGUGUCCACCCCUCCUGUGCCCCAUCUUACACAAUACGCACUCCACCAGGCGAGUACGGUGCCAAUCUUCCAC
rnacentral:rRNA from 1 species